rnacentral:lncRNA from 1 species
UAUUCAUUGUAUUUUGUCUUGUGCGUUACUUCAAAACUUACACUAUCUCUUAUAUAAUAUAAGCGCAUUGAGAUGUUUUUUAUCAUCAAGUGUCCCAUUUAAGUGAAUAGGAAAAAAAUCCAAGAACAAAAGGGCGUUUGAUCUACCCCAGGGGUCAUCAAAUUUUUUUUUACUACGGGCCUCAUAACUGAAAGAAUGACAAGCUCAGGUUGUUUAAUCAUUCUGUUCAAUACCUGCAAGCCAGAACGAAAGCUCUGUUAAAACAGACGAAAAACCAAGUUUAGCAUUCCAUGUUAAUCAUAGAAUUUAUGCCAAUGUAUUGGGAAGCGUUUCUACUAUUUGGUAUUCCGUCUAACAUGAAGUGGAGUAGACAUGAGGAAUAACCAUUCGGUGCGGCUAUCAGUAACUGUUAAGCAUUUCUUGUUCCAAAGCUUGCAGAUAAUAGCCUGAUUGGGAGAAGAAAUGUAAGGACUAUCUUUAUAUCAGGUGUCGAUAGAUAUGCCAAUUUAUCCCUGAGGAUUCUCCAACUGCAAGACUCAUCGUUGAAUUAUGCUGCCGAAUUAAUUAAAUAUUUUCCAUCGAUAUCACUUGGGUAUGAAAGUACUCUUAGGUUGAUUAUACGGCAAUAUAAGAAGUAUAAGAAAGAAAAUACAGAUUGAGUUGUUUAGCUGUUGUUUUUGUUAAGUACAUUAAGUUUUUAAAAUAUUUAUUAGGGAUGCGUUAAAAUGUGCGUGAAGUUUUGUAUUUAUUACUUUAUGAUAGUUUGAUUGUUUUUGUUUUUAGGUCUUUAGAAGGAAAUUAAUGUUAAUUAAUAUUGUUAAAUGAUGUUUUUAUACAAAUGCAAAUUUCCUUUCAAGUGUUUAUCUUUAUUUUAGUACAUCUAAUAGUUAUAAAUGUUUAGAACAAAUAUAUGUAGUUACAUUAGAUAUUGUGUUCACAGAUCCAAAUCUUAAAAGCUAAGCAACAAAAAAAAGUUAGUGAGAUUUGUCAAAAUAACGUUUGGCUUUCAAGAUAUCAUAAAUUUUUGGUUAGGAAUUACUGCAUCCAAUCUAGAGAACUACUUUCAAAAAUUUCAUCUGUCAAUCGUGUUCGAUGGGCGGACUUCACAUAACUCAUUUUUGAACAUGUUUGCUCAUAGACAUAAUUUGUUCCACAAGCGAUGCCAUACCAUUGGCAAAGUUCUUCAGUUCAUCAAACAUGCAGCUGUAAAAUGUAACAAGUUUCUCUUCUCUGUGAUUCUCUUUCAAAAAGUAAUUUGCAUGCAAAUCAAUGAGCUCCAAAUGUAGUUCUACUGGAACCUCAUCAAGGUUACAGUAGAAAAGGAUCCUGGAACACAAUAAUGUCUCUCUCAAUUCUGUCAAGAUCUGAAAAUCUGCUCAAAAAUUGUUCCUUCAAGUCACAAAUAAUCUUUUUUUGGAAAAUAGAGGUUGACAUCUUCUGCAAUUAUGUGCUUCAAACAAUGACAGUUUUUUGCCAAAUUCCCCUAAUGAUUCCUGAAGAUCACGGACGAGGUUAUUCUUUCACGGAAGUUUCAUUUUUAAUUCAUUCAUGUGGGAAGUAAUGUCCACCAAAAAUGACAACUUUGACAGCCAGGUAGAAUCUGACAGCAGUGGAUCAGUUCUUUAUUUUUCAGUGGGAAAAAAAUCUAUUUCAUUUCAGAGGGUGUAAAAACAAAAUGGGAGUUUACCGCAGCUGAGCCGCCUCACUGUUAAGGCAAAUCACAGAAAUCAGUCUAAAUAAUUCACGAUAUUUCACGACUGAACCGAGCAAUCGAGCGUUUUUAGUAUAUAUUGACACCUUUACAACGUCUUAUCGUAUUAUCCGAAGUGAUCAAUAAUGAACAAAAUAUACUUAGUUUUAAAAAAGGCGGGAA